rnacentral:rRNA from 1 species
UGGUAGUGUAUUGGACAACCAUGGCUCUCACGGGUAACGGGGAAUUAGGGUUCGAUUCCGGAGAAGGAGCCUGAGAAACGGCUACUACAUCUAAGGAAGGCAGCAGGCGCGUAAAUUACCCAAUCCUGACUCAGGGAGGUGGUGACAAGAUAUAACGACGCGCCUAAAAAGCGCGAUUGUAGUGAGGGUUUUCCAAACCGAACCACUAGUACGAUUGGAGGGCAAGUCUGGUGCCAGCAGCCGCGGUAAUUCCAGCUCCAAUAGCGUAUAUUAAAGUUGUUGCAGUUAAAAAGCUCGUAGUUGGAUUUCAAGGGUCGCAACGUGUAACCACGCUUGCACCCUACCAGUCUUUGACUGUUACUGUGAGAAAAUUAGAGUGUUUCAAGCAGGCUAUUGCAGGAAUACAUUAGCAUGGAAUAACGAAUGUGUCUAGAAUCUUGGUUAAUUCUAGAUUACGAUUAAUAGGGACAGUUGGGGGCAUUAGUAUUUAAUUGUCAGAGGUGAAAUUCUUGGAUUUAUUAAAGACUAACGUAUGCGAAAGCAUUUGUCAAGGAUGUUUUC